rnacentral:tRNA from 1 species
GGGGGAAUGGCUCAGUGGUACAGUGUUUGCUUAGGAAGUAUAAGACACUGAGUUUAAACCCCAGUACUGCCA